rnacentral:misc_RNA from 1 species
AAAUGCGAUAAGUAAUGUGAAUUGCAGAAUUCGGUGAAUCAUCGAAUCUUUGAACGCACCUUGCGCUCCUUGGUAUUCCUUGGAGCAUGCCUGUUUGAGUAUCAUGAAAUCUUCAAAGUAAAUCUUUUGUUAACUCAAUUGGUUUCUACUUUGGUAUUGGAGGUCUUUGCAGCUUCACACCUGCUCCUCUUUGUUCAUUAGCUGGAUCUCAGUGUUAUGCUUGGUUCCACUCGGCGUGAUAAGUUAUCUAUCGCUGAGGACACUGUAAAAGGUGGCCAAGGUAAAUGCAGAUGAACCGCUUCUAAUAGUCCAUUGACUUGGACAAUACUUUUAUGAUCUGAUCUCAAAUCAGGUAGGACUACCCGCUGAACUUAAGC